rnacentral:lncRNA from 1 species
CAUGUAACCUCACAAUCUGUGAAGGUUGGAAUUUAUCAUCCCUCUUUAAGAGAGGAUAAAACUGAGGGGCCAGCCCAGUGGCACAGCUGUUCAGGUUGCACGUUCGGAUUCAGCAGCCCAGGGUUCACCAGUUCGGAUCCCAGAUCAUGGCAUCAUUUCAAGGCUAGAUGGAACCUUAGUGAACCUCUUCACAGACCCCUUAAAAUGGGACCAGAACCCAUUGUGGUGAAAACUGGGGACUUUCUGCCCCAGUAUGUUGGACUGUACCCUCCCUGACCUCACCAUUAGCAAUGUUGAAGAUGACUCUCCAGUUAAGUUAUCAAGGUCAUGUAAUACUGGGAAAGAAGAUGACCGUGGAAUGCCUGGAUUCAAGCCCUGGUCUUCUAUUUGCAAGAUGAGUUCUUUGGAUAAAUCACAAUCUACCAGAACUUCAGUUUGCUCUUUUGUAAAUUGGAGGUAAUUAUAAUACAGCAGAGACAAUACACUUG